UCCUACGGGAGGCAGCAGUGGGGAAUUUUCCGCAAUGGGCGAAAGCCUGACGGAGCAAUACAGCGUGAGGGAAGACUGCCUAUGGGUUGUAAACCUCUUUUUUCAGGGAGGAAUAAAAUGACGUGUACCUGAAGAAUAAGCAUCGGCUAACUCUGUGCCAGCAGCCGCGGUAAGACGGAGGAUGCAAGUGUUAUCCGGAAUCACUGGGCGUAAAGCGUCUGUAGGUGGUUUAAUAAGUCAACUGUUAAAUCUUGAGGCUCAACUUCAAAAUCGCAGUCGAAACUAUUAGACUAGAGUAUAGUAGAGGUAAAGGGAAUUUCCAGUGGAGCGGUGAAAUGCGUAGAUAUUGGAAAGAACACCGAUGGCGAAAGCACUUUACUGGGCUAUUACUAACACUCAGAGACGAAAGCUAGGGUAGCAAAUGGGAUUAGAUACCCCAGUAGUCCUAGCCGUAAACUAUGGAUACUAGAUGUUGAACAGAUCGACCUGUGCAGUAUCAAAGCUAACGCGUUAAGUAUCCCGCCUGGGAAGUAUGCUCGCAAGAGUGAAACUCAAAUGAAUUGACGG
rnacentral:rRNA from 1 species